UUUUGUUUGUUGUUGUUGUGAGGGAGAGAACAUUUCUGUCGUCUAUACACAAAACUUUCCAUUUCACUUACAAGAUGGUGAAAAGAACGAACCUUGCUUAUUAUACACGGUUUUUAACGCUAUAACACUUCUUUACUUGGAUUUUACUCUCAAAAACUAUGACUGUGUUGGUGAUAGAACCCUGGCAGGAAGAGGUGACGUUGCCUUGGAUAUUCAGAGUGAGGGAGACUGGCAGAAGACACAAGGUUCGGAGGCCUCCAGAGAGCUGCCCAGAGUGAAGCUUGUGGUAUAGAGGAACAGCUGCUGAUCAUCAAGCUUACGGAAUGACUGGAGGAAAGUGGGAGGAGCCUGGAGGGAGUGGUGGAGAUACCAGGAUAUGUGACCACCACCACCACCCUCACCACCACCACCACCACCACCACCACCACCACCACCACCACCACCACCACCACCACCACCACCACCACCACUACCACCACCACCACCACCAUUGGAGUCCCCUCUGUAGUUGCACAUUACGGCCCUGUUGUGUACCCUGGUGGCCUUCAUAGUUGACCGCUGAGUGCAGCUGUCGGUGACUGCAGGAAUGGACCUCAGAUGGCGGACACAACAGCAUUACCAAGUCAAGAAGUUGUCCAGUAUUUUAUCUCUGCUCUCAAACAAGCAAUGACCAGUGGUGGUGUUGUUCAUGUCUGGCUUGUGUGUGUGUGUGUGUGUGUGUGUGUGUGUGUGUGUGUGUGUGUGUGUGUGUGUGUGUGUGUGUGUGUGUGUGAGUUUGUUCAUCCAUUAUGAUUUGAAGAGAUUGUGUUUGUAUUUUUAUUGUGGUACUCUGUGAUUAUACUUUGAAAUGAUACGGCCUUAAAAUUGACCUUUGACCCUGUGUGGUAGUGGAGUGAGGCUUGUGACAGUUAGGAAUUGGUUGUCGAAAAGUGACCACAUUGGUUUUUCCUCAAUUGCUUUAGCCAUGAAAGUUCUAUUCCUUGUGUUCUUUGUCAUGACGAUGUUUGAUUCCCUUGGUUUCCAAUUGGUUGCCUUUGUGUGAGUUUUGAUCCAGUCAUUUACUUCCCUACUUACUGAAUUCCAGGAAACAAAGGGAUUGCUUGCUCCUUUUGCUUCCUUGUGGACAAAUUCACUGCUAAUAGUUUGUUAUUUGGAAGUUUGAUUGAAGGCUUGUUCCUCCCUCUCCUCCACCCUAUGACUACUUGAUGCUAUCUAGUAAAAUUCUUCACAAUGAUGUUUUCCAUGCCUUCGCUGCCCUAAACCCUUGGAAAGCUUGGAGGGGUCCCUCCUCUUGUUCUUCAAAACUGCAUUUCUGUGCUUGCACCU